rnacentral:rRNA from 1 species
ACCACGGGACACGUGAAACCCUGUGGGAAGCAGGAGGGACCACCCUCCAAGGCUAAAUACUACCUAGUGACCGAUAGCGUAUAGUACCGUGAGGGAAAGGUGAAAAGAACCCCGGGAGGGGAGUGAAAUAGAACCUGAAACCCUGCACUUACAAGCUGUGGAAGCACAUUUCUUGUGUGACCGCGUACUUUUUGUAGAACGGGCCAACGAGUUACGU